UCUUGUUGGAUACCCAGUGCCUGUUA
rnacentral:sRNA from 1 species